GUUUCUUACAACAACUUAACCAACCUUACUGGGGCUAUCCAAAUCAUGAUGGGUUGCAAGAAACUGACAGGAAAGACAGUGAUUCCAGCUUUUGUAUUUCAGGUAAGAUCUGUCCCCCGAACUGGUUAUAGGCAAGUCUAACAGCAGUCAACGAUUUACAUGAAUAAAGGGUGUUGGGCAAAUUACCUGUAAAGUUAUUGUUACCAAGAUCGAGGAUGCUAAGCUGGGAGAGAUUGGAGAAAUCAAAGGCAGAGAGCUCCCCUUCCAAGAGGUUGACCCGCAAAUUUAACGUCACUAGUUUGGUACAGUUCAUCAGAGAUGGAGGCAAUGAACCUGUGAGAUUGUUGAUGUGAAGCUGCAGCUGUUUCAAGUUGGAGAGUUUGCCAAUAUUCCGGGAUAUUGUGCCGAUCAAAUGAUUGGAAUAGAGAUCAAGAAUCCUGAGCUUAUUGAGGUUCGCUACGGCAUCACUGAUGGGACCAGAAAGGCUGUUGAGAGGUAAGGAUAGUUGUUCGAGCAAGACAGCCUUGUAAAUAUCAUCAGGAAUCGUCCCAGAGAGAUUAUUGAAACCUGCAGAGAAAAUCCGCAAACUGGAACAUUCACCUAUCCCUGAGGGAAUAUUGCCGCUGAAAUCAUUGUAGGAGAAGUCAAGGAUGGUCAUGGAGCGAAAAGAAACAAGGCAGAUGUCGGGUGGAAUUUGGCCUGCGAAGCUAUUGUUGCUGACGUUGAAUGUACUCAAAUUCCCAGCUACCUGCAGAAAUGAGUUGGAUGGAAUUACGCCAUUGAAGUGGUUGCUGGACAAAUCCACUAUUUGGAGGGCCAUCUUAGUGUUAUUAUUGUCAUUGGAUGGUAAUUCCCCAUGAAGACGAUUGUAACUGAGAUCAAGAAUCUGGAGAUCAUUAAGAGAGAAAAAUCCAGCCGGGAUAGGACCUGAGAAGCGAUUAUGGGACAGAUUGAGGUAAGAGAGGUGAGUGAGGUUGGCAAGAGAUUGGGAGAGAACGCCACUGAGGCCUCUAGAAGGUAGCGCAAGACCAGUCACUCGACCAUCAAUUCCGCUACACUCAACUCCUUCCCAAAGGCAGCAAUCAGUGGAAGAAGACCAAUUGAAAGGAGAAGAAGAUGAUAUGUUUGAAAAGAAGGGUAAUAGAGAAUCAUGAUCAUCUUGGUUGCAAGCAGCAGCAGUGAGGGAAGGAUGCAGAAAUAGUAACACGGUCAAUACAAGAGCAGACAAGACCAUGACCAGGGAGGAGGAGGAUCUUCUUGCACUUGGUUUGAUCAGUGGAUUUGUGGAGCAAUCAAGAAGAAUAAAGUUGGUGGCUUUAACAUCUAUCGCCAUCGUUCCCAUCAUUGGGACCAAGAACAAGAACAAGAACAAGACAUGAGGCACAGAAGGAGGUGGAAGAGGAAAAAUAGGGAACCAAGUACAUGAUUAUCCUGUAUCCAAGCAACGUUGUACACUAACAAAGAUUUGGAGAUUGCAAUGAAGCCUUCCAUUGACCAAAGAUGGAAAAGGAAAAUGAGAGAGAAAGGAAGGGAACAAGAGAGAGAGUGUAUGUGUGUGCGUGGGGGCAUGACGUUAGGUCAUUGAUAUUAUAAUGGCUCUGCACAAUGGAAAUAUUAAUAAACAAAAGAGGAAAAAAAGGGGGAAUCAUCAUGAAAAAUAUGAAUAUCUUAUAGCGUUUACUUAUGGGGCGGCUGGUACUGGCUGGUGGUGCGUGGUAAUGGUGGAGAUGCACUCUUUCUUGGAUGAUGAUUAAUGAAUGACCAAAGCCCACAAAACAAAAACCGUGUUAAAACUAAAUCUAAAAGGAUCCAGAAACCCCUUUUCACUCCACAAACUUUGACAGCCUAAAAAAAGGCAAAAAUCAAAAUCUUUCCCAACUUCAAAACCUCUCCUCUCUGUGUGUCUCUCUAAUUGGUUUCUCUGCUGAAUGGUCUAUUUUGGUGGGUUUUUCUUUUUUUUAAAAUUAAAUCCAUCUCCUUAUUUUGUUUUGUGGGCAGGCUGUUAGUUGUACUUAUCUGCAAUUUUCUAAUUCCUGAAAUUGGUCAUUAGACAGAUAGGCAAUGUUUGCAAGCGGGCAGAAACAGAGAGUGACCCUUUAUAUAAAAUUGCUCGUACUGCUCAAUGUUCAACCUGUACCUGAUCAAAUCAUGUCCUGUUGUAUAACUGGAUCUUUGGGCAUUUCUUGACCCAUUCACAAGGUUUUUGUAGCAGUGUUUCCCAAUGUAAUUGCGGGCUUGAACGAGGGGAAAUCAGAUUCAGAUCACCCUCUUUUCUUUUGGUCGUGUUGAAAGUGCCCUGAACAAUUAAUUACAAAUGUUCAAACUUCAAA
rnacentral:misc_RNA from 1 species